rnacentral:rRNA from 1 species
UACGUAGGAUGCGAGCGUUAUCCGGAUUUAUUGGGUUUAAAGGGUGCGUAGGCGGGUUAUCAAGUCAGCGGUAAAAUCGUGGAGCUCAACUCCAUCCAGCCGUUGAAACUGAUGAUCUUGAGUGGGCGAGAAGUAUGCGGAAUGCGUGGUGUAGCGGUGAAAUGCAUAGAUAUCACGCAGAACUCCGAUUGCGAAGGCAGCAUACCGGCGCCCGACUGACGCUGAAGCACGAAAGCGUGGGGAGCAAACAGG